rnacentral:rRNA from 1 species
UACGUAGGGUGCGAGCGUUGUCCGGAAUUAUUGGGCGUAAAGAGCUCGUAGGCGGUUUGUCGCGUCGGCCGUGAAAACUUGGGGCUUAACCCCAAGCUUGCGGUCGAUACGGGCAGACUUGAGUUCGGCAGGGGAGACUGGAAUUCCUGGUGUAGCGGUGAAAUGCGUAGAUAUCGUAAGGAACGCCAGUGGCGAAAGCGAAUCUCUGGGCAGCAACUGACGCUGAGGCACGAAGGCCAGGGGAGCAAACGGG